rnacentral:rRNA from 1 species
CCAGACUCCUACGGGAGGCAGCAGUGAGGAAUAUUGGUCAAUGGGCGGGAGCCUGAACCAGCCAAGUCGCGUGAGGGAAGACGGUCCUAUGGAUUGUAAACCUCUUUUGUCGGGGAGCAAAGAGGCCACGUGUGGUCAAAAGCGAGAGUACCCGAAGAAAAAGCAUCGGCUAACUCCGUGCCAGCAGCCGCGGUAAUACGGAGGAUGCGAGCGUUAUCCGGAUUUAUUGGGUUUAAAGGGUGCGUAGGCGGGACGGUAAGUCAGCGGUAAAAAGGCGGAGCUCAACUCCGUCGAGCCGUUGAAACUGCCGUUCCUGAGUGAGCGAGAAGUAUGCGGAAUGCGUGGUGUAGCGGUGAAAUGCAUAGAUAUCACGCAGAACUCCGAUUGCGAAGGCAGCAUACCGGCGCUCAACUGACGCUGAAGCACGAAGGCGUGGGUAUCGAACAGGAUUAGAUACCCGAGUA